GCCUGGGUGGCUCAGUGGUUAAGCCUCUGUCUUCAGCUCAGGUCAUGAUCACAGGGUCCUGGGAUCGAGCCCCAGAUCGGGCU
rnacentral:tRNA from 1 species